AAUAAUUGGACUAACCAUCUAUAAUGACUUCCGCAACAUUGACAUGAUGGUGACACCUUUUACAUAUGGAAUGCACCCUAAGGUGUCAAUCUAAGGUCUCGUGUUAAUCCUUCCAAUAAUUUCGUUAUCAUUUGAAUUUCUCAUACCUAUCUCUUUGAUCAUGGGCUAUCAAGAUACACUCAUACCCACCUAAGAAAGGUGGCAUUCUAUCUCCCACCAGACUGCCUAUCCAGAUUACCAAACUCACUAAGAGACUUGAUUUCUUACUCUCCCUUUCUUGCUUGUUCUUUUUCUACAUUUGCUUCCUCCGCACUCAAUGAACAAUCAGAUGCG
rnacentral:lncRNA from 1 species